CCUGUGUAUCUUGACCACGCUUCUAUCAUGCUAUUAACAUGUUAUUGGUUUCUCCUCCCUGGCCCCAGCGAUAAUCCAUUGACUUACAUUUGUAGAAUUCUACCAGGGGUAUGACAGGCCAGCUUCACCUCUUAAUAUCCAUUGAUGGUAGAAUUCCAUCAUCCCCUUCUUGUCUUUAAUCCCUUAAGGACACAUGGCAUGUGUGAC